AUCCUUUUGUAUUCACGUAUGCACAAUGAUUGGGUUUUUACCAUCACGUGUGAGAUGUGUCUCCUUCAAGCUUGUUACCACGCAUAAGCAAGUGAUCAGUCCCACG
ensembl:snoRNA